rnacentral:rRNA from 1 species
AAUGUGACCUCGAUCAGCAGA